CAGCAGCCGCGGUAAUACGUAGGGUGCGAGCGUUAAUCGGAAUUACUGGGCGUAAAGCGUGCGCAGGCGGUUUUGUAAGUCGGAUGUGAAAUCCCCGGGCUCAACCUGGGAACUGCGUUCGAAACUGCAAGGCUAGAGUGUGUCAGAGGGGGGUAGAAUUCCACGUGUAGCAGUAAAUGCGUAGAGAUGUGGAGGAAUACCAAUGGCGAAGGCAGCCCCCUGGGAUAACACUGACGCUCAUGCACGAAAGCGUGGGGAGCAAACAGGAUUAGAUACCCUGGUAGUCCACGCCCUAAACGAUGUCAACUAGUUGUUGGGUCUUCACUGACUCAGUAACGUAGCUAACGCGUGAAGUUGACCGCCUGGGGAGUACGGUCGCAAGAUUAAAACUCAAAUGAAUUGACGG
rnacentral:rRNA from 1 species